GUCGGGGUGGUGGAAUGGUAGACACACGGGCCUUAAGAGCCCGCGGGGAUAAAACUCCGUGGAAGUUCGAGUCUUCUCCCCGACA
rfam:Microgenomates (Woesebacteria) bacterium GW2011_GWB1_33_22 TR35_C0019, whole genome shotgun sequence.